GACGAACGCUGGCGGCGUGCUUAACACAUGCAAGUCGAGCGGUAAGGCCCUUUCGGGGGUACACGAGCGGCGAACGGGUGAGUAACACGUGGGUGACCUGCCCUCAGCUCUGGGAUAAGCCUGGGAAACUGGGUCUAAUACUGGAUAUGACUCCACGGUGCAUGUCGUGGGGUGGAAAGCCUUGUGCGGCUGAGGAUGGGCCCGCGGCCUAUCAGCUUGUUGGUGGGGUAAUGGCCUACCAAGGCGACGACGGGUAGCCGGCCUGAGAGGGCGACCGGUCACACUGGGACUGAGACACGGCCCAGACUCCUACGGGAGGCAGCAGUGGGGAAUAUUGCACAAUGGGCGAAAGCCUGAUGCAGCGACGCCGCGUGAGGGAUGA
rnacentral:rRNA from 1 species